UACGUAGGGUGCAAGCGUUAAUCGGAAUUACUGGGCGUAAAGCGUGCGCAGGCGGUUUUGUAAGUCUGUCGUGAAAGCCCCCGGGCUUAACCUGGGAAUUGCGACGGAGACUGCAAGGCUUGAAUCUGGCAGAGGGGGGUAGAAUUCCACGUGUAGCAGUGAAAUGCGUAGAGAUGUGGAGGAACACCGAUGGCGAAGGCAGCCCCCCUGGGUCAAGAUUGACGCUCAUGCACGAAAGCGUGGGGAGCAAACAGG
rnacentral:rRNA from 1 species